AUCAGUCUAGGAAAAUUAUAUAAGAAGCCAAAACCAAGAUAAAAGGCAGCAGCUUUGCAUUUGUCUUAGUAGGAAAAUGGCUGUAAUAUUUGGACUUCCUUUGAGAGUUUCUUGGAUAAGUUGCCUGCUAAUUGGAGGUAUAGCAUGUUUUCCUUCACCAACUGGUGACUAUGAAUAUAUUCACCAAGUUACACCAAAACCAACCCGCUCCUACAUGUCAAGUGUGGUGACUGGCUCAAAUACUCCAGGUGAAAUAAACCGGCACAAUGUAU